CUCGUCUCAUAGACAAGAUGGUGAAGGUCGGUGGGAACGGAUUUGGCCGUAUAGGCGCCUGGUUACCAGGGCUGCCUUCUCUUCUGACAAAGUGCAGAUUGUUGCCAUCAACGACCCCUUCAUUGACCUCAACUACAUGGUCUAUAUGUUCCAGUAUGACUAUCUAUGGCAAGUUCAACGGCACAGUCAAGGCUGAGAAUGGGAAGCUUGUCAUCAACGGGAAGGCCAUCACCAUCUUCCAGGAGCGAGAUCCCGCUAACAUCAAAUGGGGUGACGCUGGUGCUGAGUAUGUUGUGGAGUCUACUGGCGUCUUCACUACCAUGGAGAAGGCUGGGGCUCACCUGAAGGGUGGGGCCAAAAGGGUCAUCAUCUCUGCCCCUUCCGCUGAUGCCCCUAUGUUUGUGAUGGGUGUGAACCACGAGAAAUAUGACAACUCCCUCAAGAUUGUCAGCAAUGCAUCCUGCACCACCAACUGCUUAGCCCCCCUGGCCAAGGUCAUCCAUGACAAACUUUGGCAUCGUGGAAGGGCUCAUGACCACACCAUGCCAUCACUGCCACUCAGAAGACUGUGGAUGGCCCCUCUGGAAAGCUGUGGCCUGAUGGCCAUGGGGCAGCCCAGAACAUCAUCCCUGCAUCCACUGGUGCUGCCAAGGCUGUGGGCAAGGUCAUCCAAGAGCUGAACGGGAAGCUCACUGGCAUGGCCUUCCGUGUUCCUACCCCCAAUGUAUCCGUUGUGGAUCUGACAUGCUGCCUGGAGAAACCUGCCAAGUAUGAUGACAUCAAGAAGGUGGUGAAGCAGGCGUCCGAGGGCCCACUAAAGGGUAUCCCGGGCUACACUGAGGGCCAGGUUGUCUCUUGCGACUUCAACAGCAACUCCCACUCUUCCACCUUUGAUGCUGGGGCUGGCAUUGCUCUCAACGACAACUUUGUAAAGCUCAUUUCCUGGUAUGACAAUGAAUACAGCUACAGCAACAGGGUGGUGGACCUCAUGGCCUACAUGGCCUCCAAGGAGUAAGAAACCCUGGACCACCCUGCCCAGCAAGGAUACUGAGAGCAAGAGAGAGGCCCUCAGUUGCCGAGGAGUCCCCGUCCCAACUCAGCCCCCAACACUGAGCAUCUCCCUCACAAUUCCAUCCCAGACCCCAUAAUAACAGGAGGGGCCUAGGGAGCCCUCCCUUCUCUCUUGAAUACCAUCAAUAAAGUACGCUGCACCCUCAAAA